CCUACGGGUGGCUGCAGUGAGGAAUAUUGGACAAUGGGCGAAAGCCUGAUCCAGCCAUGCCGCGUGUGUGAAGAAGGCCUUCGGGUUGUAAAGCACUUUCAGUGGGGAAGAAAGCCUUGGGGCUAAUACCCUCGAGGAAGGACAUCACCCACAGAAGAAGCACCGGCUAACUCCGUGCCAGCAGCCGCGGUAAUACGGAGGGUGCGAGCGUUAAUCGGAAUUACUGGGCGUAAAGCGCGCGUAGGCGGUCUGAUAAGCCGGUUGUGAAAGCCCCGGGCUCAACCUGGGAACGGCAUCCGGAACUGUCAGGCUAGAGUGCAGGAGAGGAAGGUAGAAUUCCCGGUGUAGCGGUGAAAUGCGUAGAGAUCGGGAGGAAUACCAGUGGCGAAGGCGGCCUUCUGGACUGACACUGACGCUGAGGUGCGAAAGCGUGGGUAGCAAACAGGAUUAGAUACCCCAGUAGUC
rnacentral:rRNA from 1 species